rnacentral:rRNA from 1 species
AGUGAACGCUGGCGGUAGGCCUAACACAUGCAAGUCGAACGGCAGCACAGUAAGAGCUUGCUCUUACGGGUGGCGAGUGGCGUACGGGUGAGGAAUACAUCGGAAUCUACUUUUUCGUGGGGGAUAACGUAGGGAAACUUACGCUAAUACCGCAUACGACCUACGGGUGAAAGCAGGGGAUCUUCGGACCUUGCGCGAUUGAAUGAGCCGAUGUCGGAGUAGCUAGUUGGCGGGGUAAAGGCCCACCAAGGCGACGAUCCGUAGCUGGUCUGAGAGGAUGAUCAGCCACACUGGAACUGAGACACGGUCAAGACUCCUACGGGAGGCAGCAGUCGGGAAUAUUGGACAAUGGGCGCAAGCCUGAUCCAGCCAUACCGCGUGGGUGAAGAAGGCCUUCGGGUUGUAAAGCCCUUUUGUUGGGAAAGAAAAGCAGCAGGUUAAUACCCCGCGGUUCUGACGGUACCCAAAGAAUAAGCACCGGCUAACUUCGUG